rnacentral:rRNA from 1 species
UCUGACCUCAAAUCAGGCAGGACUACCCGCUGAACUUAA